AACACAUGCAAGUCGAGCGGUAGAGAGAAGCUUGCUUCUCUGAGAGCGGCGGACGGGUGAGUAAUGCCUAGGAAUCUGCCUGGUAGUGGGGGAUAACGUUCGGAAACGGACGCUAAUACCGCAUACGUCCUACGGGAGAAAGCAGGGGACCUUUCGGGCCUUGCGCUAUCAGAUGAGCCUAGGUCGGAUUAGCUAGUUGGUGGGGUAAUGGCUCACCAAGGCGACGAUCCGUAACUGGUCUGAGAGGAUGAUCAGUCACACUGGAACUGAGACACGGUCCAGACUCCUACGGGAGGCAGCAGUGGGGAAUAUUGGACAAUGGGCGAAAGCCUGAUCCAGCCAUGCCGCGUGUGUGAAGAAGGUCUUCGGAUUGUAAAGCACUUUAAGUUGGGAGGAAGGGCAGUUGCCUAAUACGUAACUGUUUUGACGUUACCGACAGAAUAAGCACCGGCUAACUCUGUGCCAGCAGCCGCGGUAAUACAGAGGGUGCAAGCGUUAAUCGGAAUUACUGGGCGUAAAGCGCGCGUAGGUGGUUUGUUAAGUUGGAUGUGAAAUCCCCGGGCUCAACCUGGGAACUGCAUUCAAAACUGACUGACUAGAGUAUGGUAGAGGGUGGUGGAAUUUCCUGUGUAGCGGUGAAAUGCGUAGAUAUAGGGAGGAACACCAGUGGCGAAGGCGACCACCUGGACUGAUACUGACACUGAGGUGCGAAAGCGUGGGGAGCAAAC
rnacentral:rRNA from 1 species